UACGAAGGGGGCUAGCGUUGCUCGGAAUCACUGGGCGUAAAGGGUGCGUAGGCGGGUCUUUAAGUCAGGGGUGAAAUCCUGGAGCUCAACUCCAGAACUGCCUUUGAUACUGAAGAUCUUGAGUUCGGGAGAGGUGAGUGGAACUGCGAGUGUAGAGGUGAAAUUCGUAGAUAUUCGCAAGAAUACCAGUGGCGAAGGCGGCUCACUGGCCCGAUACUGACGCUGAUGCACGAAAGCGUGGGGAGCAAACAGG
rnacentral:rRNA from 1 species